CUUCUAGAAUUUAUUGGAAGUCGGGCCUGUCCACUGAUAUUUUAUUGAAGGGCCGCGGUAUUUUGACCGUGCAAAGGUAGCAUAAUCAUUAGUCUUUUAAUUGAAGGCUGGAAUGAAUGGUUUGACGAAAUAAUAUCUGUCUCUAAUAUAAAUGUAUUGAAUUUUACUUUUGAGUUAAAAGGCUUAAAUGUUAAUAAGGGACGAGAAGACCCUAUAGAUCUUUAUAAUAUGUUUUAUAUAAUUUAUUUUGGAUGUAUAAUUUAAUAUAUAAUUUAUAUUAUUUUAUUGGGGUGAUAUGAGAAUAUAUUAACUUCUUAUUUUUUUACUUUGAUAGAAGAUUAUAUAAUCCUUUAGUAUGGAAUUAAGAUUAAGAUACCUUAGGGAUAACAGCGUAAUCUUGUUGGAGAGUUCUUAUUGAUAAUAAGGAUUGCGACCUCGAUGUUGGAUUAAGGAAAUAUAUUGAUGUAGAUGUUAAUAUUAUUGGUCUGUUC
rnacentral:rRNA from 1 species